rnacentral:rRNA from 1 species
UACAGAGGGUGCGAGCGUUGUCCGGAAUCACUGGGCGUAAAGGGCGCGUAGGUGGUGGCUUAAGCGUGCGGUGAAAGCUCGGAGCUCAACUCCGAGUCGGCCGUGCGAACUGGGCUCACUGGAGCAUAGUAGAGGCAGGUGGAAUUCCGGGUGUAGCGGUGGAAUGCGUAGAGAUCCGGAAGAACACCGGUGGCGAGGGCGGCCUGCUGGGCUAUGGCUGACACUGAGGCGCGACAGCGUGGGGAGCAAACAGG